AUCUCUGUGCUGUAAUUGUGAGCACGUCCGACUAGCAAUCGGAAGAUCCAGAGUUCGAAUUCCUGUAAGGGUA
rnacentral:tRNA from 1 species